UACAGGGGGUGCAAACGUUGCUCGGAAUUACUAGGCGUAAAGCGCACGUAGGCGGCUUUCUAAGUCGGGGGUGAAAUCCUGGAGCUCAACUCCAGAACUGCCUUCGAUACUGGAGAGCUUGAGUCCGGGAGAGGUGAGUGGAACUGCGAGUGUAGAGGUGAAAUUCGUAGAUAUUCGCAAGAACACCAGUGGCGAAGGCGGCUCACUGGCCCGGUACUGACGCUGAGGUGCGAAAGCGUGGGGAGCAAACAGG
rnacentral:rRNA from 1 species